UCCGAAACUUUUCCUAAUUAAAACAGAGGAGACAGAUGGCCCUUGCGGGCGUUGACUGUCUCUGAUUUCUGCCCAGUGCUCUGAAUGUAAAAGUGAAGAAAUUCAACCAAGCGCGGGUAAACGGCGGGAGUAACUAUGACUCUCUUAAGGUAGCCAAAUGCCUCGUCAUCUAAUUCGUGACGCGCAUGAAUGGAUUAACGAGA
rnacentral:ncRNA from 1 species